UACGUAGGGUGCGAGCGUUGUCCGGAAUUACUGGGCGUAAAGAGCUCGUAGGCGGUUUGUCGCGUCUGCUGUGAAAACCCGAGGCUCAACCUCGGCCUGCAGUGGGUACGGGCAGACUAGAGUGCGGUAGGGGAGACUGGAAUUCCUGGUGUAGCGGUGGAAUGCGCAGAUAUCAGGAGGAACACCGGUGGCGAAGGCGGGUCUCUGGGCAGUAACUGACGCUGGAGGAGCGAAAGCCGUGGGGAGCGAACAGG
rnacentral:rRNA from 1 species